GCAACCAGAACCGGAACGAACGUUCGUAACCAGAAUCCGAAAUUGCAUUACGAAGUCGUCAAUCGUCGCAGGAAGGUGGAAUCAGCAUCUGCUGCCGAAUUCCUCAGUGGAAUCUCUCGUAAGCGAUGUCGACAAAUGCAUCCCUGACCAGAUGAUUCCUAAAAACUUCAAGCUCCUCACGGGUGCAGUGCGCCACGCCCGCACACUAUUGUAAAGAGGCAAAACUACAAUAAAC